rnacentral:rRNA from 1 species
UACGUAGGGUGCGAGCGUUAAUCGGAAUUACUGGGCGUAAAGCGUGCGUAGGCGGUUCGUUAAGUUCGUUGUGAAAGCCCCGGGCUCAACCUGGGAAUGGCAAUGGAAACUGGCGGGCUGGAGUAUGGCAGAGGGGGGUGGAAUUCCGCGUGUAGCAGUGAAAUGCGUAGAGAUGCGGAGGAACACCGAUGGCGAAGGCAGCCCCCUGGGCCAAUACUGACGCUCAGGCACGAAAGCGUGGGAGCAAACAGG